ensembl:lncRNA
CUUUUGCUCAGUGUGUAUUCCCCUUUCAACGCCUCCCGGCUUUAAAUUCAUACAUUUAUAUUCAUCUGCACCUGGUUGGAGAAACAUGGAUAUAUGUACUUCUUUUAGAGAGUGUCUCAUGGAGGGUUUCAAGUCAGAACAUACUGAUGAUGGCUGCAGCGAGACGGCGGACCUGACAGAGCGCUGCGAGCUGAUCAGUGAUAGGCUGCUGACCUUGGAAGAUGAAUUGCAGACGGCCGUACUGAACCGGGACUGUGUCCUUACCCAUAUCCUUUCACUGUUCUCUAAAUAUACUGUAUGCUACCUGUGCGUGUUUCUGUCUUUGUCCAUCCAUCUUCAGGACCUAGUUUCCUCGAGGUCUUUACACUCUAAAAAAAGCACACAGCCGAACUACCUUUAGGCCCUCUGAUGUUCUGUGACUUUACCUUUUGUGAGGGAAAAAAAAAAUCAACCUGUCUUAUUUGACAUUAUGGGACCAUUCAGCUAAGGAAUUGCAGAUAAACUGGGAUCAGAGGAUCUUUCUUGACAUGCCUGCUGAAAAAUGGUAAAAGUCCUCGUGAGCUUAUUGGGGGGCGCUUGAUGUGGGCUGCCAG